rnacentral:tRNA from 1 species
AGAAUUUUAGUUAAACUAUAACAUCUAAAUUGCAUUUAGAAAUUAUUUUAAUCAAAUAAAUUUUA